rnacentral:lncRNA from 1 species
GUUAAAUCUUGGGAAAUAAACUAUCACAUAAUAUAAAUUAAGAAAGAGGGGUACAGUAGUAUAUACUUCUCUUAAUUAUCAUUGUACUUUUAUCACUGGAAACUAAAAAAUAUAAAAGGAAAAAUAUUCUGUAUGACAGGUAGCAACUCGUCUAUCUAUUAAGAAAAAUAAAGCUGCUUCAUUUUUAACCAAUGUCUCCCAGCUAAAUCUUGGAAAAUGUAUAUCACCAAAGAUAAAUGCUAGUUCCUCUACAACUGAAAAUCAACACACCACCCUCCUCCAAUGCCCAGGUGCGUAUUUCACUAGCUCUUUUGACAAUAAUAACAGCUAGUGCGCCUCAACCGCAAGCAAGGGUCGACUUCUUCUGUCCAUAUAAGCUCUAUCUCAAUGGGGCAGCCCGAUGCACAAAGUAUCCACAUUCACACAGGGUACGGGGAAUGACCACACCCCAAGGCGUGUGAUGUAGAGAACUUACCUUAAUGCAAGCACUAAUGGCUGAUUCCACAGCUCGAACCCGUGACCUAUAGGUUACAAUAUCUCAAUCCAAUAUUAUAUGAAACAAACUUAACCCUCCUUAUAAAUCUAGAUAAAACACAUUAGAGUUUACAUGUGUAGAGCCUAAAACACUUUUAUCACUGAUAUACUACAAGCUAUUGCAGCCAAUGUAAUGCAUACCAAACCAGGCGAAAUCUAGUUAGUGAAAGCAAUUCCAGAAUUAGAAACACCAUAUAAAGCUUUGCCUGAUAGUUAUUAUCAGAUUGUAGCAAGACUCUGCUCUGGUUUUACCAUUAUCUUGACUGGUUUCCCAAG